rnacentral:rRNA from 1 species
UAUUUUAGCCUAGUUGGGGGAACCUGUUCUGUAAACGAUAAACCUCGUAGUAUUUUUCUUGCCUUACAAUAGUUAGUAUACCUUCAUUGUUAAGUAAUUUAAAAAAGAAUUAUUGUAAUUAAAAAAAAAUUAAGUAUAUUAGAUCAAGGUGCUGCUUAUAGGCAAGUAGAAAUGGGUUACAACAAAAUUUUAUUUACACGAAAUAAGUAUUCUGAAAGGGUCUUACGAAGGAGGACUCAAUUGUAAUUUAAGAUUUAAUAAGAUUAAGUGAUAAAAGCUCUAAAAUAUGUACAUAU